CCUACGAGUGGCAGCAGUGGGGAAUAUUGCACAAUGGGGGAAACCCUGAUGCAGCGACGCCGCGUGAGUGAAGAAGUAAUUCGUUAUGUAAAGCUCUAUCAGCAGGGAAGAAAAUGACGGUACCUGAGUAAGAAGCCCCGGCAAACUAAGUGCCAGCAGCCGCGGAAAUAAGUAGGGGGCAAGCGUUAUCCGGAUUUACUGGGGGUAAAGGGAGCGGAGACGGCCGUGCAAGUUUGGAGUGAAAGGCGGGGGCUCAACCCCCGGACUGCUCUGGAAACUGUACGGCGGGAGUGCAGGAGAGGUAAGUGGAAUGCGUGGUGUAGCGGUGAAAUGCGUAGAUAUUAGGAGGAACACCAGUGGCGAAGGCGGCUUACUGGACUUUAACUGACGUUGAGGCUCGAAAGCGUGGGGAGCAAACAGGAUUAGAUACCCCAGUAGUC
rnacentral:rRNA from 1 species